GAAAUGCCCGAAAAAGGAUUAUUGUGAUACAAUAAAACAUGCAUGUAAGUUAAUGUGCUUUCG
rnacentral:tRNA from 1 species